UUCCAUUCCAUCUUGUUUAGUCCCUUAAGUUUACCAUUUUUCCAUACUUGUCAAAAACUUAAUUCCUUCUUAUUGAAUUUAUAAGUUAACUAAGUUAAAUAACUUAGUUACCUCCUUUUAUUCCAUAACAUAAAGGAUUGUGUCAACGAAUAAAAUAUACGGGUUUUGGGGUGUUACACCCGAACCCUACCGACCAAUACUCGAACCCUACCCCGACCCGAAAUUAGGGUAUUCUAAUAACCAGGUAUUGAAAACCCGAAACCGGGUACAUAGCGUAUAGCUUUUUUGGCCAAUACCCGGACCGAACCCGACCCGGGUAUGGUCAAAACCCGAAAAGUCAAAACCUGAUCAUACCCGUACUCGGGUAUAUGCCCGAACCCGGGUAUUAAAAAAACCUAGUUUGUGCACCUCUAGGGGUGGGUUACGGGGUUUAAGUUUUUUUCGUAGUAAUGUGCAUUGAGUUUGCCGACGACAUCUCUAGAGGUAUUCUACUAUACAACGGGGUAGUCAAAGCUUAAGCUUCGAAGAGUGGUGCUUAUCGACAUAAAUGGCUCAAAGAAUGACACAUGUUUUAUCAGACGUUUACUUAGGUGUUCCCCUUUGGUAAGAAAGUUUCUUAUUCGUCCUUACCGGUACCGGGGGGUUUAGACACAAGCUAAAGUGUGGGAGUUUCUUACGAACUUGUUGUAUAUCCAGAAUGACAACAACAGUGUUGACUUCCAAUUAGUCGCAGAAUAUUAGUUGGUUUGCACUUGUCUUACAUUUGCUGCAUGUUUCUAUGAAUCUAUGGUCUAGACUCUAGUAUGAAUUACGGGUGACAUAUGAUUUCUUACUUUUGAAUCACAAUGGAGAUGAGUAUGAUAAUUCCA